GCCAGGUUUUUUUCCUACUUCUUUUGUAGUUAGAUAAAUUCUGGUAUUUGAAGCUUUAAUCAAUCCUUUUGAGACUACUUGUGCAUUAUUGCAGGACACCAUCUGGGAUUUGAGCAGCAUAACUCACUCCUACACCAUCAUUCUCCAAGUAACUGAAGUUAAUAGAGAUUAGAUAGCUACAUUAGCUUACUCAAUAUCAUUUGUUUCAGGGUUGGAUUUAGUGUUUCCUGUGUUGUAAUAACUGCAGUCAUCUACAAAGUACCCACACAAAGCCUUACAAUGAUCUGUGCAGAGCAAGACUGAUUCAGCUUCAAGAGCUUGAAGUCAAAACAGAGAUGCAGAGACACAAAGAUGGGAACUAAAAAAACAGCAUUAUAAGCUACACAAAAUUAAAAGGAAAACCCUGAGAAGGCACAAGAGAUAUUUAACCUUGUUGUUGUCUUGCUGUUAUCUUUCAUAUUUCUAAAUUCCCAUACUGUCACAAUCAUAUUUCUAGAGUCCCAUACCUUCUCAGCAAUAUUUCUUGGGGGCAGUUCUUCACAGCACAGACUUGGUCUUCUGGUUGUUGCUGCUUCUCAGCCAGGGCUCCUGACAGGCCAACCCACCCCCUUUAUCCCAGUUAUCUUCACUAGCCACAGUUGCAGCCCAUCAAGAAGAACCAGGUCUUAUCAGGGCAAGGCCUGUAUACAAAUAUUCAAAUAUAGUACAGAUAUUUUACUAGGACUCCUACUAUAUGCCCUUAUCCAAACACCUAAACAAAGUAAUACAGAAAAAAAUCUAGCUUGAUGGAACUACCCACUUACAUAAUGCUCCUCAGGCAUAAAUGUUUGCAGAAUAAGGAUCAUACUGAACAAAUCAUUGUAAUGAAGUUAAACUACCUUUUCAAUUCAGAGAUUAGUCUUCGAGCAUCUCUCAUGAACAAUAUUUGGCUUCUCACAAGAGGAGUUUCAUCACAAUCUUCCUUGUUAAACUUUUAAUGUUCCACAGUGUAACACAUAGCAGGAAAGAUCCUGCUGUCUUAGAAAUUGGAAGCAGUAGACCCAGGCUGCCACAAAUGACAAUCCAGGUGGUGAACAGGGAACUUGAAAAACUUGGCUAUGUGCAAUUCCAUUGCAUAGGUUGUUCCUUUCUCUGUGCUCCCUUAAGAGCCUAAUACUACUGGGGUUUAGUCUGUGGUUGCUUUUCAAAUGAAAGCAAUGCCAAACUCCUAUAUAAGUUCAGAAUGGAGUACUGAGUCUGUAAAAUGGAUGUUCUGUUAGAUUUGGAGGGAAAUGCAAUGACAGCCCAUGCUUUCUUUUUUCAGUGAUUAAACCUUUACUUUGUAUAGCACUGAACUUUAUUAAGAGCAGUUAUCAAAAAAUAUUGUCUUGAAGACAAUAUUCUUGAAGACAACAAGACUUUUUCUUGGGGCAAGACUUUGUUGUAUAACCAAUCAUACUGCAGACCCCAGGAAGGAAAAAGGCUAAUUUUUAGAUUAGUCUUAUGUUAAGACUCAAGAUGUUCCUUGAAAAUGGGUGUUCAGAAAUCUACCCUAAGUCAGAAUGGAAAAAAAAUAUAUUAGAUAAUCAGAGUUUAAUUGAGCUCCAAAAUGUUUUAUAAUGGAUAUAUAGUCUAAAGCUCUCUUCUGUCAUGUAGUCAAAAUUUUCAGAGCUUGAAAAUACACUUAUGCAUAAAAAAUGGUAUCUAAUGCUCAAAAAUACUAUCCUCAAAAUUAUUUUGAAUGUGUUUCUAUGCUCCCUACCUCUGAAAAUCACAUUUCCUAAAGUGCCUAGAUAUGGAUUUAGGGCAUCUAACUGCAUCCACUCAGGCUUGAAAAUUUUAGCCUACCUCUACCUGUGCUUCAUAAUAAAUGUAUCAGAAAGCUUCAGACAAGCUAUAAAAGUAUUCUCAAAAAAGCAAUGCAGACUUGAGCCAUUAGAAAACAAGACACCAACCUAAGAAAGCACUUGACUGUAUAAUUCAGCUCAUUCUGGUAUAUGGAAAGUAGCAUCUGAAGCUCAGCUUCUAACAGACAUCUGUAGUAGAAGGAGAAAAAUUAAUAUUAAUCACCUCCAUAAUAUGGCAGUUUUAUUAUUAAUAUCUUUCCACUGUUCCCAAUCUUCAAGGAACGGCAAAAGUCUCAGUAAGUAGAAAUGCAAAUAUUUAUUGUUGUAGAUCUUUGCACAGAGUACAUUUUGAUGGAUAGGAAGGGUUUUUUUUCGAGAAGCUCUUUUUGUGUUAUCUUCAAUUGGCAUUCAGUAUAACGGUUUACCAAGGGAAAGGACUGAGUACACACCAAAUGCAGUUGGGGCUGUCAUGCUAACCUUGUUGGGAGGCAGGGCUGUGUCAGGCAGGGAAGUUUAAUUUGGGCUCAGAAUCAGAGGGACUGUAUUCCCAAGGAAUGAAAUAUCUUCGAAGGCAGAGUUAGGGUAAAACUCGAAGGCUGCUCACUCUCUGGACAGUUGAUAUGAAUAACUGCAUGGGAUAACUGCAUUGCUUUUCCAUAUUACCCACAGUACAGCAAAUAUUGUUGAGUUUAUGCCAGUUUUUUAGCUGCAAAAAAUUAGGGAAUCAAAAAUUAAAUCCUAAUGAAAGCAUAAGCCUUUCUUCCAUCAGUGCAGGAUCACUUCCACCCCUUAAAGUCAUCUCUUGCUGGAACCAACAACCCUGCCAAAACCAAAGGAUGCUUCUGAUACUGAAAAUAAACCUAAAGCAUUAAAUGAAAAUCAGCGAAAACCACAUCCUAGCAGAAGUGAACUUGACUGGUGGGGCUUCCUGCAUAGCAGUGUCACUCUAGAUUACUGCACAGAAUUGAAAUGCUUGCACUGUCACAGAAUUGGUGACCAUAAACUUCAUUUAGCUCUCCGUGCCCCACACCUUACCUACGCUGAUGGUGGACAUGUGCCAAAAAGCUAACUUGAUAACCUAAAUAUUGCAAUUUAUACCAAACAUACAUAUUGCAGUGCAGCUACAGAACGACUGCAGAAGAAGCCAGAAGACGACCUGGGUUCUGCAGGGGAACUGCAAACCAUGACUCGCUGAACAAAUCAAAGCCUUAACUUUGCAGGUUAUUCUGUGUGGGCAAUAGAUUGUACCAGUGUCAACAUCAAACAACUUGCAGGAUCAACACCCACCAGAGGAAGAGCUGUGUAACUAGUGACACCGAGGUGAAACUGAAACUGAGAAAAAUACCUUACUACCAAAUACAGAAGAAAGCAAUGCAAUGAAAACACUUACUCAGUUCUGUGAAAUUAUCACAUGCUUUUCAUCAAAAUAGCUGGAGGAAAGCCAAUACAGAACUGCUGGAGAAAGCACUGCGGAGAGGGCAUCACACCGUGUACUAAAUAAAAGAUUUGGUGUUGGGCAAAUAAUAAAAAAUCCCAAACCAAAAUGAUGUCUUAUGCUGCCUAGAUUGAACCUCCUGCAGAAAGGUAGGUGAAUUUGCUUCCUUCACAUUUUGGCAAUAUUUACUGUGUUGGUUGUACAAGUAGGGAAUGAUUGUAACACAGUAGCCCUAAUGUUUUUCUGUGCUUUGGAUAAAACAUGCAACUGUUUAUCAUCAAUCUAAACAAUAACUUUACUUCUUGCCCCACUGCCAGGAAAAAGGCAGUCGUAGAAAUCCCAAAGCACUAUUGCACUAUUAUUGUUCUUUUCUUCAAUAGCAUUUUCUCUCAGUUUCAACAUUUGUUGCUGUGCAAAGUUUUGUGUAAAACUAAGGGACAAGAAGCAAAGUUCCUAAGGACAGAAAAUAUGAUUUUAUCACUAAUAUGAACUUGGAAACAUCAUGUUCAUAUGACACAAAAUGCUAAACAGCAUGAGCCUUCUCUAUUGUUCGACACAUUAAAUGGAGAGACUUUAUUGAAGCAGCCUCCACAUGAGGUAUCCCAUCUUGGAGCUUGUAAAACCACUGGAUGGUGUUCCCUGGCCGCUCUGACAAUAGUGCAGCUGUGUGCCCAGGCCAAAUCUGGAUCAGAUUUGCCAGGCAAGACAGACAUGUGCAGUUCUUUUAAUAAAUACUGUGGGGCUGCUACUUAAAAAAGCCCUUCCAAAACAAAAAUAAAAAACAAACAAACAAACAAACAACCCUGAGAUGGAGUUUUAAUUUCAUUUUCUGCUCCCUAUGCACCAGUAUAAAUGACUAAAUAGCAUGCAAGUUUUAAAAGAGUCAAGAUAAAUGGUUAAAUUAUUGGACCAGUUCCAUUAAUGCAAACUCUGUAGACUUCAGGCGUCUUUUGCUGACCUAUGCUUAGGGCAGAAGCCAUAGUUUUUAUUAGGUCUACUCGUACUGGACACCAUUUUUCAGACCAAAUGCCCUGUUACUUGAUGUUGGACACUUAACCUGUGCCAGAAAAUCACACGGUUUGAUUUUAUCUCAUAAGGCAAAAGCACUUCAAUAUCUUUUGGCAAUACUUGUUUGGCACAGAAGGUGGAAGGGUAAGGCAGCUGAUAGUUUACUGUCUAAAAUAAUAAAGUCAUCAGACAGGCUGAGGUGGAUGCUAUACAUGAUUCCCUUCUUGCUGACAAGAUUUCACCAUCACUUUUUUCACAUUUUCUAUGUAGGCUCAAUUUCGAGGAAGGUUUGUACAUUGCCGGAACUGACCUGUUUUUAAGUAUUUUGUUGCUCUCCACCACAAAAAACAAAACAAAACACAAACAAAUUCCCCCUCAAAUAAUCUAAUAAAACAAAAACACCUGUCAAGAACAUUCCUUUAAACAAAACUCCAGCCCUCAAAUCCCCAAAUCCAACCCCAUUCCUAUAGCUUUGAAUGCAAUUUCAUGGCCCUUUUUAUUCCCCUACAACCACCCCCUUAAAUGAUAGUUCAGACUUCCACUUUCAUUCUCAGAAGUUAGAACUGUAACUAUUUCCUACCUACAAAAAAAAUAUUAUUGAUCUUGUCCCUUUACAAUUCUGCCAAAAAUUCAAGAGAAUCUGGCCUUGUUCUAAACUUAUUCCCACAUUCCCUUUGCCUCAGCAUUCAGAGACAAAGCAGUCCUCUGGGACAGCAGAGCCUACAAAAACAGGUGUCCCUGCCAAUGGCCAGCUGUUCCCAGUUCUGUCAUUUUUCAAAGGGACAAUUUUUCAGAAAGUAGCCAAGUUCACAUUUGCAUUGCUCUCCACUGGUGUAAUUAUUUAUAUCAUGUUAUAUUGAAACAAAUUUCUCUCAAACCAUGACAGUUUUGGUUUUUUUUUAAUUCACAUGGUGAAAAUGAAAAGAUUUGAUGCCAUAGAAUAUGAAGCCCUUAGAGCUGUCCAGUGCUUUUGUUGAAGUACUUCACAUAGCAAUUCACACUCUCCUUUGAAACAGAUUUUGGCUUCACUUGUGGCACCUGGUUGAAGACAAGCAACAUCUAAAAACCUGAAAUUUCACAAAUGCCUGCCAGGUUGAAGUAGCAAGAUGAUAGGAUACCUUUUCAUUGGUAGCUUGAUAAAAUCAUUAUGAGAACUCCAUUCUUAUUUAAUAUGUAUCUGCCUUUACAGCUGCAUAAAUAUCCUUUUACGUAUACCCUGUGAAUUCACAGCAAGAGGAGUCCAAGAAGAUCCCACACUUGUCCGAGGAAAAGUAAACACUUGAAAAGUAAAGAAAAUAAUCUAAGCUGAAGCUUUAAACAGAUACUCUCUUCCAUAUAAAAACGGGUUUAGAGCUUGAAUAGAAUGUUCAGAAAUAAGGUGUGACUGAAAAUAGAAAAAUAACCUUUGGAAGUUACAUUCUUUUCUGUUUACAGGCUAUUCCCUCUUGCCCUGAAAGGGGACCAGGUAUAGGACAGGUGCAGUUGACAACUGAGGGAACACUUGUUCCUCAGCAAGUCUAUUACUCUGCAGAGCAGCAUUUUUUGCCUUUAACCUGGAUCCUGACAAAUUUUUCGGGGCAUAGUUCAUGUAAAGAAAUCCUGGAAUAUUAAAUUUCACAGUUCCUAGGUGGAUUCCUGACAUGGGUGCUAACAAAAACCUUAAAGCUGGGGGCAAACCUGGUGCCCUGUGCUGUGACUCUCCAAACCUCUCAUGUCCAUGUGGAGCAACUAUUGGGGAUCUCCCUCAGAGAAAUGAAUAUACAGCUUCUAGCAUGUGUGUUUCUCUCACUGUAUGUCAUCCAUAUAUCAGGAGGAUAUCACAACACAAGCAGAUUACCCACAUCAAAUAUUGACUGCAAAAAUCAAGGACUCAUGAGGCAGCACUCAAGUCAGCAAGCAGGCAGGUUUGAAUGGCAGGUAGAGGGAUGCUGCAGGUAUUGCAGGAUGCUGCACCCCAGGGCAGAGCAAGGGGGUGGUCACUGCUCCCUGUGGCACCAGGAGCAGCAGGAGCAGAGAGCUCUGCCUCCCUGCCACAGAGGUAACAUACCCCCACUCAGCUAAUUAGCAGCAUCUCAUCUCUUGAAGGGAAAAACCCCUCUUUGCUCUUGCUGAGCAUCUGCCAAGUUUCUGCUGUCACGCUUUUCUUCUAAUUUGGAAAAGAAAACUACAGUUCUGAUAGCCCUUGUUUGAAAAUUGCUAGCCCCUGUUGUAAUCAGGCAAAACUUUAAAUCACAGCCACCUUGAUUUCAGAAAAGUUUAAUUUGUAGGAUAACUUUCUAUCACCAUUUGGUAGUGCCUUAUUAAUGUAACUGUAAUGUACAGCCCUGCCUUGGACAAUGAUUCUUCUUCUGUUUCCUACAUGUUGGCAGACCACAUGCAGACUCUCAUCCCUGAUCAUUUUAUACUGGCCACAGCAGGACUUUAAAGAGGAUAUAUUUUACUACACAGAUGAGCAAUCAUUUUCAAAUCCUUUUGCAGUAUUUUCCUACCCACUGUGCUUCAAUUCACAAUUUGAUGCCAUUCAAAAAUAGCAGUCUCUUGUCUGUGUAUGAUACUGCAGCCUGUCUUAGGGUAAAUGCUUAAUCUGAAAUCAUCAUCACUUAAUGGUGUAUCUCUUUCCCUGCACUGCAAUUUAAAAGAGUGAUACAAAGAAUAUUUUGGAGAGCUUAGUAUAUGCCUGGCUGAUUAUGUCACUCACUUCUCAUCUCCUGAUCUUUAAUAUAGUUUGGAUUUUGACCCUGUCUGUCCUGUAAAAAUUUGUGUGUAACAUGAAUCAACCACCUAAGGCUAAUGAUGUUCACUCCUAAAGUGGGGUCUCUAUUCUGGUGGCUGAGGUCUGUUUUAUGCACUGUGUUUAAAAAUAUUUUCUGCCUUUCACUGUAAAGCAAAUGAAACAAAUGGAAAUAAUGACUAUGUGGUGAUUGAUGGUGAGGACAGUGGGGUUAGUUUCAUCUUUGUCACUGAUCUUUUACUUAAUUUUGAGAGUUUAACUUAACUUACAUGAAUCAGAACCACUUGUAAAAUAACUAUAAUGCCCUUCACUGACAUCACAAGUGACAAAUCCAGAGAACUUCUGUUGGAUCCAGCUAAAGUGUUCUGAAGCUGCAGCAUCUAAGAAGAGGAUUUGCCCACCCUGCAAAAGAUGCCCUUGUAGCAGCCUAUCAUCCUAUCACAGGCGGAACUGACCUUGCACCUUUCACAUUUCUUUCAAAAUUACCCUGCAGAACCUCAGGAAACACUGACCAAGGAGCCAAACUCUGGGGUAUGGGCUGGAAGGACAAAAGCUUUGCAGAUUGUUGCACACCAAGACACAAUGAAAGGCAGCUAAGCAAGGCUUGAUUUUUAUGUUGACAGUCUACUGUAAUUAGAGGCCAGCCCAGCCCUUCUGGAGGCACUUCAUGGUGGGGACUGCCCUGGAAUAUCCUUUACAUCCCACAGAAAGGACACAAGCACAGGACUCUGGUAUUUCAGAGGUGAUGACUUCUAGCAAGUAUGAAGAAUAUCAUAGCUCAGGACCUCCUAUGGAAAGAAAAAAUUUUUUCCAGACCUCUGCUAAACCCCACAUUUCUGAUUAAACUCGAAAGGAAGAAAAACUUUUACUGAAUUUGAUGACGAUGCUAAGGCUCACCAGUAUUCCCCAGACACUUUGGCAUCCCUCAAAGAGAGAAAGAUUCAGCUUUGCUGGGGAGCUACCUCAAAGUUUUCCUGUUAACCAAGGAAAAACUGUUUGCACUCACCUCUAAGGUCCACUCUUAGAAACAAGGCUCAUGUGCGGCUCCUGCUGUGGGGAACUGCUGUUUUGGCACCAUACAUUCAAGAUGGGAGAUGUUAACUCAUAAUGAAAACACCUGUAUUCAAAGCUUCUGUGCUGAAACAUGCAUCAGAGGAGAGCUCACCACUGCUUUUAGCAGCAAUCCACACAAAAGAAGCCAAGUAGAUGAACAAACCAAAGCACUGCUAAAAGAAGACAGCUGGCAAAUGCAAGUUUACAGUCAGGCUGUUUUUCCUCAGGUGCAACAACACUGACAACCCAUUUGUGGAUACAGGGUGGAAGGGGAAGUUGUGUGCCUCGGCUUUGGCAAUGGCAGUUCUUCCAAAAGCUUCCAAAGAUACAGCCAGAGCCUGUGCUGAUAAACCCAGAGGCAGUGGGAACACUCCUUCUCUUACAGAUACUUGGAGAAUGUCCAGAGUGAAGACUCAUUUACUCCCACAAUGCACUCCAAGAAGUGCUGAAGCCCAGACUGUCAGUCUCAAAUUCCAUUUUGCAUCAUUCUUUAGUAUUUUCAUCUGUUCUUUGAACAACAAUCAUCCCAGUUUUCCCUAAAAGAUUUUCACCUCCUUUCUCCUACACCUUCAUACAGGAAAUGAACUGCCCUCUUUGUAUAGUUUACUCUUCACUCUUGUCUUUCCUGUUCAUGCACUCUGGCUGGCAUUUAGAUCCCUGCAGAGGUGUCUAGGUGACAACACCGCCAAGCAGAUGAGCCUCCUGGAAAUCCUUCCUAUGGUUUCCCCAGCAGGGCCAUUUGGAGCUUUAUCCAAUUAAUUCCUGGUCUCCCCUAUGGCUUCUAGGUCACACAUUUUGCUCCUGAUUCUGAAACACAUACCCCCAUUGGUAAUAUUUUACUUGGGAAAUACAGAUAGCUCCCAGCUAGAACUGGAUUUCACAGAUGAAAACUUUUCAAGACACACCAUUUAAAGGAAGACAAAUUUUAUUUUCUUUGUGCAAUGUUUCCCUGUAAUUAUUAUUAGCAGCAAAGAACAGUUACAUUAAUGCAAUCAAGCUGAAUAAGCAGGUUGUUAUAAGUUUCUCUGGGAGGAAAAAAAGGACAUAAGUCUAUCUUUCAGUAAUGGAUAUUUGUUUUUUAAAUGUCACUGCAGCACUUAAGCUGGCCAGUGGCAACCAUACCACUGACCUGCUUAGAACUGGAAUUGUUGCACCUCUCAUUUUGCACCUUUGAAACAUGCAACCAGCUUACUAGUACUGUUUUGGGCAAUGUUAUAUUCCUACCAGGCAGAGCUGCAAUGGAAAAUCAUGGAUAUCCUGACCUGUUCCACUACUCCUCAGCCACCCUGGAGAGGGAUUGCUGCAACCAGCACGUGCUGGAUAAGGACAAGAGAAGCAUGAUGAACUGAAAAAGCUCACAGCUGCAUGGCUGCAGCAGAAGACAGCAUGCCAUUAACUAACCAGUGGAUACACUACCUUGCCCAAUGUCUAAAUUUACCCUUUCAGACAGGCAAGUACCGGCAUCAAGUCAAAAUCUUAGGGAAUACAUUAAACACUGGUAAUAACACAGCAACAGUACUUAUAACACAUGGGGACAUGGCCUUGAUAUUUUAAGAAAUCCGUGGCUUUUCCACUAAAAACUUUGUGGCUGCUACAAUUUCUAAUUCCCACACUACAUCUGAGUUAAAUUGUUAUGAGUCUCAGAAACUCAUGAAAUUAAUUGGAGCAGUUCACAGCAUCACAAAUGUGUUUUACAUGUCUAGACAAAUCUGAUUAUCAUCAUGCCCUUCAGAAACAUGUUAUAUAUUCCCAGCACAUCAGAUUUUACAUAGCAUUACCAUUAAAUACAGUCUAACUUCAGCUGACAAACCAGAGAAUAAUGAUUAAAUGGUAAUUUACUUGACUUGUAAGAAGUGAAUUACGUACACACCAAGCAAGAUAUUUGACAAUGGCAUCAGACAGCUCUGAAUUAAAAACCCUCCAUUUUAUGUUAAAUGUAUUUUUAAAACCAUUUGCAGUACCAUAAGUAACAUAAAACAAAAAACAAAGUUUUCAUUGCAUUUGUUUUGUGAUUGAGUAGUGUGAAAAAGGCAGACCUAAAUAAAUAAAACCAGAUUGAAGCUCAGGUUAUUACUUGCUGUUUCCCUAUUUUGCAUCUAAAACCAGCAUGCACAAAGCCAUGCCAGAAGCAUCAUAAUCCCUAAUUGUCAAUCACAUAUAAAAACACAGGGACGGCAAUGCUAUAUUCAUAUUUCUAGAGUCCUGUAGCAUCACAAUCAUAUUUCUAAGGUCUCAUACCUUCUCAGUGAUAUUUCUUAGGGGCAGUUCUUCACAGCACAAACUUCUGCAUGCUAUUCCAUCUUAGUCAGGGCUCUUUCCAGGCUCUCCCUGCCCAGCCAAGCCCACCCCCUUUAUCCCAGUUAUCUUCACUAGCCACAGCUGCAGCCCAAUGAAGGACAUGGCAGCUGCAGCCCAUCAAGAAGAACCGGGGCUUAUCAGGGCAAGGCCUGUAUACAGAUAUUCAAAUAUAGUACAGAUAUUUUAGUGGGACUCCUACUAUAGGGCAGUGCAAACCAAAAGUUGGAAAAGGAAUGCUUUACCCAUGCAAAGUCUCAGGUACAAGGCAAUGAGCUCUGCAAUCAGUAAUUCUCCCAAGUUUUGCAAUAUUCUCAAAUAUCACCUCUGUUGGACAACGCCAUUCAGAGGAUACUCAUGCUAUUGUGCAUGCCCUAAGCUUUCUCCUGUCUCAGUUUUAAUUAACACUACUCAGUGCUUUGCAAGGACAGAAGUAAAGCUGCUCUACUUUUGAAUCCCUUCUUUCUGUAAAUCUUUCCUGUUCCAGUUAAGCUAAUCAACAUUCUUACAAUGCUUUUUCAUAUGAAACUGUCAUUAUUCUUUAAAAGUGCUGCUAUCUACCAAUUACCAUUUUCUAAUGCUUAUAACCGCUUAUAACACUUCUUUCUUUUUCAUUAGCACUUCAAAAUAUUCUCACCUUCUACAGUAUCUCGUUAAACUGGAAUCCUGAUUAUUUCUAUUGCGCUAGCAAGUGUGUCACUGGCACUAUAAUGGUCUUUUUUUCUAUUUAAACUAUCCAAAUGAAGUAAAAAUCAGUUUCAUUUCAUUCUUUCCAGAUGAUUCCCAAAUGCUUUUAUUUCAGCAUCUGUAUUUGUAUUAUACAGUCCCUAUUUAUAUUUCCAAUUCUACACUAUUACUAUAUUCUAAAACCUCUAACUUUUCCACCCUGGGAUAUUACACACUUCUAUUCAAACUACACAUCCAUAAUUCUAGUUUUAUCUUUCAAUUUUGGAAGCCUUCUCCAUGGCCUCAGGUCAAAUGCAGUGUUCUCUUGGGGGUCAGCAGAGAAAGUCUAACAUUCUCAGUAACCAGGGUUCCAAGAGCAAACCAGAUUUUUUCUGUAAGUAUCACAGCAAGACAAAUUUGAUAAAAAGUGACAAAAAGAGAAUGAGGUGGUUUUGCAGGUAUUUAUAAGGUAUGUGAGAAGGAGCUUCAUGAGGAAAAAUGUUAAGGUGUUUGCAGAGGUGGAUUUUCAAAAGCAUCUCAGAAAUUUCAGAACAUGCGUCCUACUGGUUUUUAGUAAGGCUGGUGACUCACAAAGCACUUUGAAAGGUGCAAGGUUAAUUUCUUUUACCCCUGAUCCACUUUUAAAAUACAGACAAAUUACUAUCUAAACAAAAAUAAAUUGGUUUACUUAAUAAGGUCAAGUAUAAUUCUCUGAAAGUCCCAGGUGCUGUAAAAUCCUGAUUUGGCCUUUGGUGAAUGAUUUAGACUGUUUACAGUGAUAUCUAUUUCACAAGCAACUUGAGGGCUACAAUUGAUCUUUUGCAAGGGUUCUAGGAGAGAGUAGAUAAGACAAACAUUAAGUGAUCAAGCACUAAAAGAAAGAACAUUCCAUACAUACAUUAGGCAUCUGAUUUACAUUAAGCUAAAUGAACAAACCAAGAACAAUUUAUAGCCACUUAAACAAAAAUUAUUUUCCUCUCUGUUAUCCACAUUUUCCUACAGUAAUUUAUGGCACUAUAAACUUUCUGUGUUCUUCUCAUUGCUUUAAAUCUUUCUAGGAAAAUGGAGAUACUCAAACAUAUGUAACAACUACAUGACAAAAAAGUGUCCAUCUUCUUUUAAUCUGGCUAAGUUCUAUCAAGCUGUCAGCAUACACCAGGUAAUUUUUAAAAAGAUGGGAUUGGAUCUGCCUCAUUUUUUUAAAAUGUUUUGGACACAAGUAAUGAGUUUUCAUUUUUUAGUAUUGUAGAUAAUAUGUUGUAGAGGAUUUUGUCUUAAAUUUAAAAAAAAAUCAUUAUUUGACUAUAUGUAUUUAUGUUUUGCAUGAAAUUUACUUUAAAUAGGUCAUCUCCCAGAAGAAUGAGACCAUUGAUCAUUGAAAUCAGGACAGAAAAGUCCAUAGUAUACCCUGACACCUGAUUCAGCAUAAAUAAGCUCUAUAAAUUCAGUAUAUUUGUAUAAUCAUAUGUUAUUUAUAACAUGGAACCUUUGCUUCUACACUGCACUGCUCAAAGCAUUUUCUUUCCAAUCACUUUCAAUGCAUACAGAGCAUCAGAAAAAGACUAUACUUCUCUCUGAUUAAAAGAAAUCUGAUACUGAAACUGGAACUCUUUGAGACUGUGCCCAACUGUUCAGAGAACCAAUUAUUUUACACAUUAACCUAAGCUCCCCUGAGCAACUACUGUGAGAGAAGAACACAUCACAUCCUGGAUUCAGAUGGAGACAAAAUACCACCCCUAUUGAACUAUCACCAGCUCCAUUUAAAAUGAAAUCAAAAUAAAAUGUAUUUACAAAAUUUCACAUUUAAAAGUAAACUUUUGACCCUGUACUGUUUUUCUGUACCCCAUAAGUUAUUUUCAUGGAUCUUAAGUAAGCUUGAUGUCUACAAAAUUUUCUUAGUGAUCCAAAUUUUAACAAAGAAUUCAGCUAUUCAACCCAAAUGAUGGUUACUAUUCUUUUUGUUGUUAUGCAUCUCAGUGCAUCCAGUACCACACACAAGGUAUCAAAGUACAGACAGGCUGGCUUUCUUUUGAAGAGUAUCACAGAUUCCAAAUCAAAAUAUUCUGAAUUAAGAUACAUGGCUUUGUUACUAAGAAGUCUUCAGGGGAUUUGAAUUUUGGAGCUGAAUUUAAAAAUCAAAAAAUUCCACAAUCUACUAGGUAAAUGAAACUGCAGCUGUGCAAACUCUUCAAAAAAUUCACCAAACUGCAUUGACAUUUCUGGCAGAAGAUAGAAACUAAUUGUACAUUCUAAUUACCAGUGUGACUGCCCCGUGUCUUAGGGCUAAAUUACCCCUUGUGAUCUGCUCACUUAAGUGUGAAAUCUUUAGGGAUGUCUGUACAAGGCCAACACAAUGCACUAAUGCUGCCCUACUCUUGGAGGAUUUAUGCUAGUGAAUCUACACCUGACUUCUGUUUCAUUAAACAUGUUUGCACAUUUUCCGAAAAUACUCUUUAUUUUCUUCCCCUCAUUAUUGUCUAGAUCUGCUGUAUUCCUCAUUCCAGAGCAGUUCACUUGCUCGGUGAAAAAAGAUGCCAAGAGAUAUUUGUGACUGAUGUACAACCAACAAAUCUAUUGAUGGCUUAAGUGGAAAGGAAAAUCAUGGGUAUUACCUGGAACAAAAUUCCCAGAAGCUGGGAAAACCAAUGCUUAAUCUUUGGCAAAAUAAUCAGAACAAAUAAAGUGGCACAGCCUGGGAAAUGAACGAGGCCUGACCAGUGGUAAUAACAGCACUAUGGCAGUAAGAGAAAAUACAGACUUUAUGUAGAUUACUCCACUUGGGAGGAGUCUGCACACAUCAGCAGAACAGCAAAGGUCCAGGCAAUGAUGACCAGUUAACCUUACAGAAGUCCCACUGAAAAUAAUGAGAUUUCUUUUGUGCUGCAUUAUCAGGCGUAUACUGAAACAUUUUGUUUCAUUAGCUCAGGGCAAGGGGUUCUAUACAUGCAAAAAUGCUGGAUUAGUGAGAGAAAUGCUGUAAAUGUAAGGUAAUAACUAGCAAAGGUACACAGAGAUCAUCACAGGAUGCAGAGAUAUUGUAAUCUUUUAAAAUACACACAAAUCAAGCCGUGGGCAAAUCUCUCAGAAAUAAAACUUUUUAUUCUGUGAAACUUUACUUUCUACUUUUUUUUUCUGAAUUCCCCAUAUAUUUUUAAACUUGUUUUUAAUGAUAAUAUGCAUUUAGUCCUCAAUUAUUCAAUGAAAUUUCAUCCAUAAAAUAUUAAAAAAAUAAAAUAGUUUAAAUAUAAACUUUUUAUAAAAUAAAAAUAUAACAUAUAUAACCAGAAGAUGUGAUAGCGUCUUUGAUAUUUGGUCUUGGACAAAUUACAUCCUUUUAUGGUAUUCUUUACAAUACACAUUGAUAAUAUAUGAAGAAGGAGAUGGCAGAAAUCUGUAAGUUUGAAAGGUGAUUUUCACUCAUACAAAGAAACAGCAAUAAAAAUAGGAGAUUUAUGAUACUAUUUACUCCUUCAUUAAGUAGUAGACACUGUGUGUGUCAGCCAACAGCUAACAGGAUUUCAGUAUUGGUUCUGCCAAGUGUCUCAUUAAAACCUGAUAAAAGAAACAGCAAUCUAACUUGAGCUAAACCUGCUACUUUUCCUGCUACUGUGAAGCAUGUUGCCACAUUUUUACAAAUUACAAUAUGUAUCUAUUUGGAUGCCUGUGCAACUACCGAACAUUUCGCAAAAAUUUCAGAACUAUCACAUCAUGAAAAACCUGUUAAGUCAGUUGUGCAUGCUAUGCAAGGAAGUAGAAUGCUUCAUAUUUUCUUCACCUUCUGAAUCUCUUCUUUCUUGAGAAAGGUGUGAUAUUUGAUAUAUCUUUUGAGGAGGAUUCAGUCACGUAUGCAUUGUUCUCUGCCACAGCCUCACAGCUGAUUUCCACAGUCCACUUUCUGUCUAAUUUCUGAGUCACAGAUGACCUCACAGGCAAUCAACUUUUAUUAUUUUCUGUCAGAUAGCUGGGUUGAUGUAUAACUCUAUUUCUAUAAACAGGCCAUUUCCUCAGCAGAUAUCUGAAUUUUAUCAAAUUUAUCAUUUAUCAAAUUAAGCUCUUCAUAGAGGCUCACUUUUCUGGGUUUAAGAGCAGUCUGUACUUAAAAGAGAUGAUCACCAUCGCAAAUUUUUCCCUGAAAACAGUAUGUAUCAUUGCACAUAAAUUUCUACAUAACGCCAAAUUUUCAUACGAACACACUCAAGUCUCAUUUGUAUUGCAAAUUUAUGUAUGCCAAGUAAGCAUCUGCAUAAGAAAAAUAAAUAAAAGAUUUCACAAAUUCAAGGGGUUAGUCUCAUUCUGUAUAUUUAAACAUCUAGGUUCACACAUCCCAAACAUAAAGGAGUUUAUGUCAAUUUAAAAUCUGGGAUGUUCAUCGUGAACAUUUGCUGCAAUGCAAGAGAAACGAGAUAUGGAGCCACCAGAAGUUCACUUUUUAGGUUGUCAGGGCUUGGAAAAGUUAUUCACUUACUGCUGAAACACAAAGCUGGCAUAUAGAUUGCCUCUGGGGUAUAGUUGUGAAUGUCUAGGGACCUUAAACCUUCUUGACCACUGUGAGACUUCACUGAUAUAAUUCUGAAUCUCACAAAGUGAAGAAUAACAAGGAGAGUCUAAUGCACAGGUGAGUUUCCAACUGCCCAAAUAUCAAUCUAACCACCAUUGUUUCACCAUGGCUAGUACGUUCACUUUCUUUAGGGUGUGCAUUGAGAUAGACAUCAGAGAGAAAAGUAUAUUUGGUAACAAGUAGUAUUGUUUAUUCCUGUAAGGGAGAUUGAAGAGAAAGA